UACGGAGGGUGCAAGCGUUAUCCGGAUUUACUGGGUUUAAAGGGUGCGUAGGCGGCGCGGAAAGUAGGGUGUGAAAUCCCUCGGCUCAACCGAGGAAUGGCGCUCUAAACUACCGUGCUUGAGGAAGAUAGAGGAGAGCGGAACUUAGGGUGGAGCGGUGAAAUGCGUUGAUAUCCUAAGGAACACCGGUGGCGAAGGCGGCUCUCUGGAUCUUUUCUGACGCUGAGGCACGGAAAGCUAGGG
rnacentral:rRNA from 1 species